rnacentral:rRNA from 1 species
UCAAGUUAUUAAGGGUGCAGGGUGGAUGCCUUGGCACUAGGAGCCGAUGAAGGACGUGAUAAGCUGCGAUAAGCUUCGGGGAGUUGCACGUAAACUUUGAUCCGAAGAUUUCCGAAUGAGGAAACUCACUUAGAGUAAUGUCUAAGUAUCAUUAAGUGAAUACAUAGCUUAAUGAGGGGAACUCAGGGAACUGAAACAUCUAAGUACCUGAAGGAAGAGAAAGAAAUUCGAUUCCGUAAGUAGCGGCGAGCGAACGCGGAUUAGCCCAAACCAAUAAAGUUUUCUUUAUUGGGGUUGCGGACAUAUCAUAACGAAGAGGUAUCGUAAUUGAAGAGGUUUGGAAAGACCCACCACAGAAGGUAAUAGUCCUGUAUGUUAAACGAGAAGACUUCAGAUAUGAUCCAGAGUACCACGGGACACGUGAAACCCUGUGGGAAGCAGGAGGGACCACCCUCCAAGGCUAAAUACUACCUAGUGACCGAUAGCGUAUAGUACCGUGAGGGAAAGGUGAAAAGAACCCCGGGAGGGGAGUGAAAUAGAACCUGAAACCCUGCACUUACAAGCUGUGGAAGCACAUUUCUUGUGUGACCGCGUACUUUUUGUAGAACGGGCCAACGAGUUACGUUAAGUAGCAAGGUUAAGCACUUAAGGUGCGGAGCCGUAGCGAAAGCGAGUUUUAACUGAGCGUUCAGUUACUUGACGUAGACCCGAAACCGGGCGACCUACCCAUGAGCAGGAUGAAGCGAAAGUAAAAUUUCGUGGAGGUCCGAACCCACGAGCGUUGAAAAGCUCGGGGAUGACUUGUGGGUAGCGGUGAAAUUCCAAUCGAGCCCGGAGAUAGCUGGUUCUCCCCGAAAUAGCUUUAGGGCUAGCCUCAAGGUGAGAGAUACGGAGGUAGAGCACUGAAUGUCCUAGGGGGUAUUGCACCUACCGAAGACUAUCAAACUCCGAAUGCCGUCAUCUUAUACUUGGGAGUCAGACUGUGGGUGAUAAGAUUCAUAGUCGAAAGGGCAACAGCCCAGAUCGUCAGCUAAGGUCCCUAAAUGUAAGUUAAGUGGUAAAGGAUGUGGGAUUGCACAGACAACCAGGAUGUUGGCUUAGAAGCAGCCACUCAUUCAAAGAGUGCGUAAUAGCUCACUGGUCGAGUGAUCCUGCGCCGAAGAUUUCCGGGGCUAAAACUUACUACCGAAGCUACGGCAUCAGUAAUGAUGGGUAGGGGAGCUUCCCAUACGGGUUGAAGCAUGACCGUAAGGACAUGUGGACAGUAUGGGAGUGAGAAUGUUGGCAUGAGUAGCGAGAUGUGGGUGAGAAUCCCACAGGCCGUAAACCCAAGGUUUCCAGGGGAAGGUUCGUCCGCCCUGGGUUAGUCGGGACCUAAGCUGAGGCCGAAAGGCGUAGGUGAUGGACAACAGGUUGAUAUUCCUGUACUACCGAUAACCGUUUGAGAGAAGGGAUGACACAGUAGGAUAAGCUAAGCACACUGUUGGUUAUGUGUGCCCAAGCAUUGAGGCGGUCAAAGUAGGCAAAUCCGCUUUGAUAAUGCUGGGAUGUGAUGGGGAGCGAAAUUUAGUAGCGAAGUAGCUGAUUUCACACUGUCAAGAAAAGUCUCUAUCGAGGUUAAAGGUACCCGUACCGCAAACCGACACAGGUGGGUGAGGAGAGUAUCCUAAGGCCAGCGAGAGAACUGUUGUUAAGGAACUCGGCAAAAUGACCCCGUAACUUAGGGAUAAGGGGUGCCACCAUCAGGUGGCCGCAGAGAAUAGGCCCAAGCGACUGUUUACCAAAAACAUAGGUUUCUGCUAAGUCGCAAGACGAUGUAUAGGAGCUGACGCCUGCCCGGUGCUGGAAGGUUAAGGGGAUCUGUUAGAGCAAUCGAAGCAGUGAACUUAAGCCCCAGUAAACGGCGGCCGUAACUAUAACGGUCCUAAGGUAGCGAAAUUCCUUGUCGGGUAAGUUCCGACCCGCACGAAAGGCGUAACGAUUUGGGCACUGUCUCAACAACAGACUCGGUGAAAUUGUAAUUCCGGUGAAGAUGCCGGAUACCUGCGACAGGACGGAAAGACCCCAUGGAGCUUUACUGUAGCUUGACAUUGGGUCUUGGUACUACAUGUACAGGAUAGGUGGGAGGCUUUGAAACCAGGACGCCAGUUUUGGCGGAGCCAUCCUUGGGAUACCACCCUUGUAGUACUGGGACUCUAACCAUAGGCCAUGAAUCUGGUCUUGGGACACUGUCAGGUGGGCAGUUUGACUGGGGCGGUCGCCUCCCAAAAGGUAACGGAGGCGCUCAAAGGUUCUCUCAGUACGGUCGGAAAUCGUACGUAGAGUGUAAAGGCAAAAGAGAGCUUGAUUGCAAGACAUACAGGUCGAGCAAGGAUGAAAAUCGGACUUAGUGAUCCGGUGGUUCUGCGUGGAAGGGCCAUCGCUCAACGGAUAAAAGCUACCCUGGGGAUAACAGGCUUAUCUCCCCCAAGAGUCCACAUCGACGGGGAGGUUUGGCACCUCGAUGUCGGCUCAUCACAUCCUGGGGCUGUAGUAGGUCCCAAGGGUUGGGCUGUUCGCCCAUUAAAGUGGUACGCGAGCUGGGUUCAGAACGUCGUGAGACAGUUCGGUCCCUAUCCGUCGCAGGCGUAGGAAAUUUGAGAAGACCUGUCCUUAGUACGAGAGGACCGGGAUGGACGUACCUCUGGUGUACCAGUUGUCCUGCCAAGGGCAUGGCUGGGUAGCUAUGUACGGAAUGGAUAAGCGCUGAAAGCAUCUAAGCGCGAAGCCAACUUCAAGAUAAGAUUUCCCACCGCAAGGGUAAGACCCCAGAAAGACUAUCUGGUUGAUAGGUCGAAGGUGUAAGUGCAGUAAUGUAUUUAGCUUAUCGAUACUAAUAGGUCGAGGACUUGACCAA